GAUCCUGGCUUAGGAUGAACGCUAGCUACAGGCUUAACACAUGCAAGUCGAGGGUAGCAGGGUAGCAAUACCGCUGACGACCGGCGCACGGGUGAGUAACACGUAUCCAACCUCCCAUAACUCAGGGAUAGCCUUUCGAAAGAAAGAUUAAUACCUGAUAGUACUUUUUCAAGGCAUCUUGAGAAAGUUAAAGAUUUAUGGUUAUGGAUGGGGAUGCGUUCCAUUAGAUAGUUGGUGAGGUAACGGCUCACCAAGUCUUCGAUGGAUAGGGGUUCUGAGAGGAAGGUCCCCCACAUUGGUACUGAGACACGGACCAAACUCCUACGGGAGGCAGCAGUGAGGAAUAUUGGUCAAUGGGCGAGAGCCUGAACCAGCCAAGUAGCGUGAAGGAUGAAGGUCCUAUGGAUUGUAAACUUCUUUUAUAGUAGAAUAAAGUGAUCCACGUGUGGAUUUUUGUAUGUAUACUAUGAAUAAGGAUCGGCUAACUCCGUGCCAGCCGCAGC
rnacentral:rRNA from 1 species